UACAGAGGUCUCAAGCGUUGUUCGGAUUCAUUGGGCGUAAAGGGUGUGUAGGUGGCGCCGUAAGUCGGGUGUGAAAUUUCGGAGCUUAACUCCGAAACUGCAUUCGAUACUGCGGUGCUUGAGGACUGGAGAGGAGACUGGAAUUUACGGUGUAGCAGUGAAAUGCGUAGAUAUCGUAAGGAAGACCAGUGGCGAAGGCGGGUCUCUGGACAGUUCCUGACACUGAGGCACGAAGGCCAGGGGAGCAAACGGG
rnacentral:rRNA from 1 species